rnacentral:rRNA from 1 species
AUGAACGCUGGCGGCGUGCCUAAUACAUGCAAGUCGAGCGAACAGAUGAGGAGCUUGCUCCUCUGACGUUAGCGGCGGACGGGUGAGUAACACGUGGAUAACCUACCUAUAAGACUGGGAUAACUUCGGGAAACCGGAGCUAAUACCGGAUAAUAUAUUGAACCGCAUGGUUCAAUAGUGAAAGACGGUUUUGCUGUCACUUAUAGAUGGAUCCGCGCCGCAUUAGCUAGUUGGUAAGGUAACGGCUUACCAAGGCAACGAUGCGUAGCCGACCUGAGAGGGUGAUCGGCCACACUGGAACUGAGACACGGUCCAGACUCCUACGGGAGGCAGCAGUAGGGAAUCUUCCGCAAUGGGCGAAAGCCUGACGGAGCAACGCCGCGUGAGUGAUGAAGAUCUUCGGAUCGUAAAACUCUGUUAUUAGGGAAGAACAAAUGUGUAAGUAACUAUGCACGUCUUGACGGUACCUAAUCAGAAAGCCACGGCUAACUACGUG